rnacentral:rRNA from 1 species
UACGUAGGUGGCAAGCGUUGUCCGGAUUUACUGGGCGUAAAGAGCGCGCAGGCGGUCAGAUAAGUCGAAUGUGAAAGCCCCCGGCUCAACUGGGGAGGGUCAUUCGAUACUGUUCGACUCGAAGGCAGGAGAGGGAAGUGGAAUUCCCGGUGUAGUGGUGAAAUGCGUAGAUAUCGGGAGACACCAGUGGCGAAGGCGACUCCUGGCCUGGUUCUUGACGCUGAGGCGCGAAAGCUAGGGGAGCAAGCGGGG